AUGUCCCGCCCCGACGCCGCCUCCCUCCUCUCCCCCUCGCCUCCGCCGUUCAAGCCCCAUCGCCGCGGCCGCUUCCUCCCCUCCAUACUCGCCGCCCUCGCCGCGGCCGCCGCUCUCCUCCUCCUGGCCGUCCUCCGCUCGCCGCCGACCCCGUCCCCCAACCUCGGCUCCCUCUUCCUCUCCCUCGGCUCCAACAACACCGCCGCCUCCCACCUCCGCGCGCUCACCCUGCACCCCCACGUCGCCGGCACCAAGGCCAACUCCCUCACCGCCGCCUACGUCCUCCACGCCUUCUCCUCCCUCUCCAUCCCGUCGCACAUCACGCCCUACUCCGUCCUCCUCUCCUACCCCGUCCACCGCUCCCUCUCCCUCUCCGCGGGGCCCGGCCGCGCCGCCAAGCCCUUCUCCCUCACCCAGGACACCUACCCCAGCGACCCCUACGCGCGCGCCGCGGCCGAGGUGACCCCGACCUUCUUCGCCUACUCCGCCUCCGGGUCGGUGUCCGCGGAGGCCGUGUACGCCAACUACGGCCGCGAGGAGGACUUCGCCUACCUCGCCUCCCGCGGGGUCGACGUCGCGGGAAAGGUGGCGCUCGCGCGGUACGGGAGGAUCCACUGCGAGGACAUCGUGCACAACGCGCGCGCGGCGGGCGCCGCGGCCGCGCUGGUGUACCCCGACCCGCUGGAGUACGGCGGCCCGGCCGGGGAGGGGACGUUCCCCGACUCGCGGUGGCUGCCCCCGAGCGGCGUGCAGGUGGGGAGCCUGUUCCGGGGCGUGGGCGACCCGACGACGCCGAUGUGGGCGUCGUCCGAGGGGUGCGAGCGCGUGAGCGUGGAGGACGCCAUGGCCACCGACGACAUGCCGGGCAUCCCGGCGCUCCCGGUGUCGGCGCGGGACGCGGCGGAGAUCCAGCGGGUCCUGGGCGGGGCCGAGGCGCCGGCGGGCUGGCAGGGCCGGGACGGCAGCCCCGCGUACCGGCUUGGCCCAGGGCCGGCCGUGCUGAACCUGACGUAUCAAGGCAAUGAUACGAUGGCGACGAUUGAGAAUGUCUUCGCGGUGAUCGAAGGCGCAGAAGAGCCGGACAGAUAUGUUAUCCUGGGAAACCAUCGCGAUGCCUGGACGUUCGGAGCCGCCGACCCCAACAGCGGAACAGCAGCUAUGAUCGAGCUAGCACAAAGGUUUUCGAUGCUGCAAAAGCAAGGGUGGAGACCUCGAAGGACAAUCAUUUUCUGUAGCUGGGAUGCAGAAGAGUACGGAUUGACAGGAUCAACUGAAUGGGUUGAAGAAAACAGGGAGAUGCUUUCCUCAAGAGCUGUUGCAUAUCUGAAUAUUGAUGUUUCGGUAGUCGGUCCGGUUUUACUCCCAUCUACAACUCCCCAACUGGAUGAGCUACUCCUUGAAACAAUGAAACUGGUUCAAGAUCCCGACAACUCAUCUCAGACGGUGUAUGAUGCAUGGGUCAAAUCCAAUGCUUCUCCCAAGAUUCAACGACUGGGCAAUGGAGGAUCAGACUAUGCAGCAUUCGUUCAACAUGUUGGCAUUCCAUCAACCAACUUGAUAUUUGGAGAAGGGCCAGGAUAUCCUGUUUACCACUCUUUAUACGAUGAUUUUGUAUGGGUGGAGAAGUUCGCGGACCCUGGGUUCCGUAGGCAUGUCGCAGCUGCUAGCAUCUGGGGAAUUAUGGCUUUGAGACUUGCUGACGAAGAGAUCAUACCGUUCGAUUACAUGUCCUACACCACCGAGCUUGAGGCAUACACAAAAGUAGUAGAGAAGGAAACCGAGGGGACGGCUGUCAGUUGCUCCCCGUUGUACAACUCAAUCAGAGCUCUGAAAAAGGCAGCUACCAAAGUUAACAGCGAGCGAAAGGAAAUUCAAAGGGAGCUGUCAAGCAAGCAGCUGAGCAAGGGCUCGAUGAAGAUCCGGGGGCUUAACGACCGGCUCAUGCAGGCAGAGCGAGCCUUCACUAACCGGGAAGGCAUCUUCAAGCAAGCCUGGUACAAGCAUCUGAUCUACGGACCAUCGGAGCAGAACGACUGGGACACCGCGUCGUAUCCUGGUAUAGCCGACGCCAUAGCCACCGCGAGGAGCAGCAACACCUCGGCGUCCUGGAAGCUGGUGCAGCACGAGGUUCACAGGGUCGCCAGGGCCGUGGCACAAGCAUCCGCCGUGCUCAGCGGAAGCCUCACAUGA
rnacentral:rRNA from 1 species